GGGCGUUAAGUUGCAGGGUAUAGACCCGAAACCCGGUGAUCUAGCCAUGGGCAGGUUGAAGGUUGGGUAACACUAACUGGAGGACCGAACCGACUAAUGUUGAAAAAUUAGCGGAUGACUUGUGGCUGGGGGUGAAAGGCCAAUCAAACCGGGAGAUAGCUGGUUCUCCCCGAAAGCUAUUUAGGUAGCGCCUCGUGAAUUCAUCUCCGGGGGUAGAGCACUGUUUCGGCAAGGGGGUCAUCCCGACUUACCAACCCGAUGCAAACUGCGAAUACCGGAGAAUGUUAUCACGGGAGACACACGGCGGGUGCUAACGUCCGUCGUGAAGAGGGAAACAACCCAGACCGCCAGCUAAGGUCCCAAAGUCAUGGUUAAGUGGGAAACGAUGUGGGAAGGCCCAGACAGCCAGGAUGUUGGCUUAGAAGCAGCCAUCAUUUAAAGAAAGCGUAAUAGCUCACUGGUCGAGUCGGCCUGCGCGGAAGAUGUAACGGGGCUAAACCAUGCACCGAAGCUGCGGCAGCGACGCUGAUGCGUUGUUGGGUA
rnacentral:rRNA from 1 species